UACGUAGGGUGCAAGCGUUGUCCGGAAUUAUUGGGCGUAAAGAGCUCGUAGGCGGUCUGUCGCGUCGGAUGUGAAACCUCGGGGGCUCAACCCCGAGCCUGCAUUCGAUACGGGCAGACUAGAGUUCGGUAGGGGAGACUGGAAUUCCCGGUGUAGCGGUGAAAUGCGCAGAUAUCGGGAGGAACACCGGUGGCGAAGGCGGUUCUCUGGGCCUUACCUGACGCUGAGGAGCGAAAGCGUGGGGAGCGAACAGG
rnacentral:rRNA from 1 species